rnacentral:rRNA from 1 species
AGUGAACGCUGGCGGUAGGCCUAACACAUGCAAGUCGAACGGCAGCACAGGAGAGCUUGCUCUCUGGGUGGCGAGUGGCGGACGGGUGAGGAAUACAUCGGAAUCUACUUUUUCGUGGGGGAUAACGUAGGGAAACUUACGCCAAUACCGCAUACGACCUACGGGUGAAAGCAGGGGAUCUUCGGACCUUGCGCGAUUGAAUGAGCCGAUGUCGGAUUAGCUAGUUGGCGGGGUAAAGGCCCACCAAGGCGACGAUCCGUAGCUGGUCUGAGAGGAUGAUCAGCCACACUGGAACUGAUAGACGGGCCAGACUCCUACGGGAGGCAGCAGUGGGGAAUAUUGGACAAUGGGCGCAAGCCUGAUCCAGCCAUACCGCGUGGGUGAAGAAGGCCUUCGGGUUGUAAGGCCCUUUUGUUGGGAAAGAAAUCCAGCUGGUUAAUACCCGGUUGGGAUGACGGUACCCAAAGAUUAAGCACCGGCUAACUUCGUGCCAGCAGCCGCCGUAA